CUCUAUAUCUCAUAAAAUGCAACCCUAGCUGAGCUCACCUUCACCGCGAUUUCUAUUCUUCUCUCAUCAAUCACCACCAUUGCGUAUCUUAACCGCCACCACUACUCCAGCACAAUGUUUUGUUAGAUUUUUCUAUUUAGUGUUUUGAACUAAGUUUGAUUUUGAUUCAUCUGACAAUAGUUUUUAGUUGUGUGAUUCAGAUACUGCAUUUUUGAAGGGGGCUUGUAUUCAAGUGGUUCUCUGAAGAGAUGGUCAAUUGGAUUGGACUCAUUGCGACAAACCUAUAUUGUGUUGAUGAAACUAUAUAUGUAUCAAGGGCAAAGUGGCAUGGAAGACAAUAAGCAGAAAAGCUCGGUAUCGAAAAUAUUAUGCGUGGUCCAUAUGAUACACAUCAAGCCUCUUCAGAAGAUCCCGAUGAGCUUGAAAAUGUUCUUGAGUACAUAAAUAAAGACAGAUAUCAUCAUAUACCAGCUAUAGUGGCAGCAGAAUCCAUUUUUUAUCAAAAGGAAAAUAGUUGGUUCUACUCAUAUAUACUCCAAUGAGAGCUUGGAAGAGCUUGAGGUUAGCAUAUUACUUAAUAUGUCUUACAUUUGGAACAUUUUCAAUCAUUUUGCACUAAUAAUGUAUUAUCAUAUACCAGCUUUAUCCAAUUCCUCACAACUGUCAAAUUUGUAUAUGAAUGUUUCUAGUUUUUUAAAGUUAUAUUUUAGAUUUAAAUAGAAUUUGGUUUAUAUGAUUUUCUUAAAUGAUGUAUGUUCCAGAAGUUGCGUUAGUAAAAUAUCUACCUGAAUGGUUAUAGGAUUUUUAGAAGGGAAAGACUACCCUAUGUUGUCAUGUGAAGAUUUACAAGUCCUAAAGUCUAAGGGAACAUGCAAAUUGGAAACUAUAAUUAUAGGUCUAAAUCAAAGUAAUUACAAGUAUCAAAAUCAAACAAAAUUCAUAUAAAAAAGCAUAGUGAAAUGUCAUGGAAAUGAUUUACAAAAUAUGAGCAAAAUGACCUAAAAUUUAAGGUAUUUUUUAUUAGAU